rnacentral:rRNA from 1 species
AGAACGAACGCUGGCGGCGUGCUUAACACAUGCAAGUCGAGUGCGCGUCUGUAGCAAUACAGAUGGCGCACGGCGAACGGGUGAGUAACACGUGGGCAACCAACCCCUCACAUCGGGGUACCCCAGGGAAACUUGGAUUAAUACCGGAUGCUCCAUCUGGCUUUCGAGCCGGCUGGAAAAGGGUAGCUUCGGCCUCCGGUCGGGGACGAGCCCGCGGCGGAUUAGCUUGUUGGUGAGGUAAAGGCUCACCAAGGCGACGACGGGUA